rnacentral:rRNA from 1 species
UACGUAGGGUGCAAGCGUUGUCCGGAAUUAUUGGGCGUAAAGAGCUCGUAGGCGGCUCAGUAAGUCAGGUGUGAAAACUCCAGGCUCAACCUGGAGGCGCCACCUGAUACUGCUGUGGCUAGAGUCCGGUAGGGGAGCAUGGAAUUCCUGGUGUAGCGGUGAAAUGCGCAGAUAUCAGGAGGAACACCAGUGGCGAAGGCGGUGCUCUGGGCCGGAACUGACGCUGAGGAGCGAAAGCGUGGGGAGCAAACAGG